GACGAACGCUGGCGGCGUGCCUAAUACAUGCCAGUUGAGCGAUGAAGAUUGGUGCUUGCACCAAUUUGAAGAGCAGCGAACGGGUGAGUAACGCGUGGGGAAUCUGCCUUUGAGCGGGGGACAACAUUUGGAAACGAAUGCUAAUACCGCAUAACAACUUUAAACAUAAGUUUUAAGUUUGAAAGAUGCAAUUGCAUCACUCAAAGAUGAUCCCGCGUUGUAUUAGCUAGUUGGUGAGGUAAAGGCUCACCAAGGCGAUGAUACAUAGCCGACCUGAGAGGGUGCUCGGCCACCUUGGGACUGAGACACGGCCCAAACUCCUACGGGAGGCAGCAGUAGGGAAUCUUCGGCAAUGGACGAAAGUCUGACCGAGCAACGCCGCGUGAGUGAAGAAGGUUUUCGGAUCGUAAAACUCUGUUGGUAGAGAAGAACGUUGGUGAGAGUGGAAAGCUCAUCAAGUGACGGUAACUACCCAGAAAGGGACGGCUAACUACGUG
rnacentral:rRNA from 1 species